rnacentral:rRNA from 1 species
CCAAUAGCGUAUAUUAAAGUUGUUGCAGUUAAAAAGCUCGUAGUUGAAUUUCGGGAUCAAAGAAUCGGUCAUGCCUUGGUAUGUACUGGUUUUAUUGGUUCUCACCUUCUAAAGAACCAUGAUGUCAUUCAUUUGAUGUUAUGGGGAAUUAGGACUGUUACCUUGAAAAAAUUAGAGUGUUUAAAGCAAGCUUACGCUUGAAUACAUUAGCAUGGAAUAAUGAAAUAGGACAUCAGAUUCUAUUUUGUUGGUUUCUAGGAUCGAUGUAAUGAUUAAUAGGGAUAGUUGGGGGCAUUAGUAUUCAAUUUUCAGAGGUGAAAUUCUUGGAUUUAUUGAAGACUAACUACUGCGAAAGCAUUUGCCAAGGAUGUUUUCAUUAAUCAAGAACGAAAGUUAGGGGAUCGAAGACGAUCAGAUACCGUCGUAGUCUUAACCAUAAACUAUGCCGACUAGGGAUCGGAUGAUGUUAAUUUUUUAAUGACUCAUUCGGCACCUUACG